UUCGCCGUAAUCUUUCCCACGCUAAGCAUACUACUCCCGGGCAAGGUCAUAAGAACCUUUGUGAAUCCAUCCCACGAAAAAUCUGCCUCUAUGAUCCACGCCAAACACACAAGUUGAAUGCUCUCCUUUAUUUAUUUAACCAUGCCGCAUACCCUUAUAAGCUCAGCUUGGCCCCGGUGCCCCUUUCCAAGGCUCUCCCGUUUAAUUAGUGACGCUACCUCCUCCGAGCGAU
rnacentral:lncRNA from 1 species